CGUGCAAGAGAUGGUGAUCCAGG
rnacentral:piRNA from 1 species